ensembl:snRNA U6 U6 spliceosomal RNA
GUGCUGGCUCUGGCAGUGUGUACACUAAAGUUGGAACUAUAUAGAGAAGAUUAGCAUGAUCCUGUGCAAGAAUGACAUGCAAAUUCCUGAAGAAUUUAAUAUUUUU